rnacentral:lncRNA from 10 species
AGUGCGCAUUGCCUACCCCGUGCUACAGGACUUCGCUGAGCGCCAGGCGCAGGGACUGGACGCAUACGGACCCCCGGGAGCCCCGGAACUCGCGUUCCCACGCCAGACCUCAUCCCCUUCUGACAGAGACGCCCUCGUCCCACCGUCGCCGCAGGCGCCAGGGGUCCCUCCCCACCGCCGAGGUCUAGCCGCCGCCCGCCCGCCUUCAGGGCAGCGCGGGGACCCCCUGGCCCUCGCCCAGUGCUCCGGGGCUCACCCGCCGCUCCUCGCCGCCUCCGGAGGCGAGGGAUUGUUUCCCACAAGGGACUGGAGUCCAGGGAAGGACUCGCCUGGAGCGGGAGGCGGGGAUGCACAUGCGCAGAGGGAGAGGCCGAGCGCCCGAGUUAGGCUGGUGGAUGCGAUGCGGGGCUUGGAAGCGGCGCUAGACGGUGCCUGUCAGCUCUGGCCGCAACCCUCAGUUGUAAAAUGAGGCUGAUAGUGCCUACCUAGCAGGGGUUUUAUGAGAAUUGGAGGCGCUUACGUUGUAAAAGCAUUUAAACCGGUGUCUGACACAUAAAUUGUUCAGUAUAUUUCUCACAAUUAUAUAUCAUGCUGGUCAUCAUAAGGCUCUCCUGCAAAACAGCCUUGUAUAGUGGGUUGAGAGAUUACUGUCUCAGUUACCCACUCCUGCUUGGAACCAGGAUUCUGUCAGUGUCCCCAGAGGUUGUGGAUCAAAUCAAUGUGCCUGUUAGACACAAGCCAAGAGAAGGAAAGGUGUGCUUGAAUUCAUUCACGAUCAUGCAUGGUAACGUUUAACUGAAAGACUGGAAGAGAAAACUAAAAUCUGUGACCAGUAUGGUUAUUCUCUGGAAUAAGGAAAAACAGAAGCUAGCAAUUCAAGACCCAAACAUAAAAUUGUUUAUAUGUUUAAAAAAAAAAAAGCCGUUUGAGUAACAAAUUUGAAGAAGAAAGCACGCACUCAUUUCCCAAAACCAACCAUACUUUACCCAGAACUACACUACACGUACAUUCUUUUACGUGCACAUCUGGCAUUUUCAGCACACUAUGAGCAUGUGCGUGUGUUACAACUUUUCAUUUAAAAAAUCAACUCCUGGGUCAUUGUCCACUUUUUUAAACUUUUCAUUUGCUCAUAAUUUCAGAUUUACAGAAGAGUUGCAAAAUAGUUCCUAUAUGCCUUUCACCCAGAUUCCACUAGUGUUAGUAUUUUACAUGACCAUGGUAUAUUUAUCAAAACUAAGAAAAUAACAUAG